rnacentral:rRNA from 1 species
GACGAACGCUGGCGGCGUGCUUAACACAUGCAAGUCGAACGGUGAAGCGCCUUCCUUUUUGGUGGGUGUGGAUGAGUGGCGAACGGGUGAGUAACACGUGAGUAACCUGCCCCCUUCUUCUGGAUAACCGCAUGAAAGUGUGGCUAAUACGGGAUAUUCUGGGUCUGUCGCAUGAUGGGUCUGAGAAAGAUAUUGUUUCGGUGGGGGAUGGGCUCGCGGCCUAUCAGCUUGUUGGGGGGGUGAUGGCCUACCAAGGCGGUGACGGGUAGCCGGCCUGAGAGAGUGGACGGUCACACUGGGACUGAGACACGGCCCAGACUCCUACGGGAGGCAGCAGUGGGGAAUAUUGCACAAUGGGCGCAAGCCUGAUGCAGCGACGCCGCGUGAGGGAUGGAGGCCUUCGGGUUGUGAACCUCUUUCGCCAGUGAAGCAGGCCUGCCUCGUUUGUGGGUGGGUUGACGGUAGCUGGAUAAGAAGCGCCGGCUAACUACGUG